GACGAACGCUGGCGGCGUGCUUAACACAUGCAAGUCGAACGGAAAGGCCCUGCUUUUGUGGGGUGCUCGAGUGGCGAACGGGUGAGUAACACGUGAGUAACCUGCCCUUGACUUUGGGAUAACUUCAGGAAACUGGGGCUAAUACCGGAUAGGAGCUCCUGCUGCAUGGUGGGGGUUGGAAAGUUUCGGCGGUUGGGGAUGGACUCGCGGCUUAUCAGCUUGUUGGUGGGGUAGUGGCUUACCAAGGCUUUGACGGGUAGCCGGCCUGAGAGGGUGACCGGGCGGUGGGCGCCGGGGAUGCGGCCGAGGAGCGGAGGGGGGGCGGGAGGGGGGGAUAUGGGAGGGGGGGGGGGGCGCGGAUGAGGGCCGGGGGGGGGGGGGAGGCGGGCCUGGGGGGCGUAACCCGCUGCGGCCGGGGAGGGGGCUGGGGUGAUGGUAAGGGGAAAAGAAGCGCCGGUAAACUACGCGGCAGCAGAGGUGGUAAUAAGAGGAAGAUAACACGUUGGAAC
rnacentral:rRNA from 1 species